GAGGCAGUUGUCAGGCAGGGAGCUAAAGUGGCUUUGCUUCACAAUGGGGAUUAAGGGCUGGCUUUUUACAGGGACUCAAGCGUGGAGAACAGAGCUGUCUGGAAAAAUGACAAUUCCACUUCAUGACAACUUUUGAGGUUUUUUGACUUUUCUUUUUUCAUUCCACAUUGCAACAAAACAAGAACUUUCAAAAGUUUUUGCAAAAUGAAAGUGUCGAAACGUCUGGUUUUGGAUCAGAACAGCCAGGUUUUUGUUCUCUCUCUGUAGCUCUUCCACUUCCCCCUCCCCGAGAGUCUACCCUGGGCCUGAGAAACUAUCCUGUCAAAACUUGCAUAGUAAUUGAUACGUUUUCACAAUGUUUUGCUUUUGAUGCGGUGGGACUUUUCAGCAAAAAAAUGUUUAGUCAAUAAGUUUCCAAACCACUGUCACAGAGAAGCAACAGGUGUGUCGUCCUGGUUAGAUCCCUUCCAUAUUUCUGACCUGGACUUUGGAACAACUGAAGAAGUGUCUACUGCCUCCGAAAUCAUCCCUGGUUUUACAGUAAGUCUGAUGCAUUGUGUGUGUUGUCGUCAUCGCUGGGCAGAUGCCCAGUUUUCCCCAUACACUGUAGAUGUGUCCAAUAAAAACACUUCAGUGAAGAAUUUUUUUAGUCAUAGUUCCUAAGGCUGAUAAUUAGUUACUUUAAUACCAAGCUGUAGUGCAUUGAUCCAGUGAGCUUUUGGAGACGAGAAACAAUACAAAAAGCAGUAGUGCAUCUCGGAAGAUGUUCAUUAUCACAGAGCCAGCUGCCCAGGCCUGAUUAAGAAAAGCAAGACACAGAAACUCCCGCUGCAGGAAGAUAUUUGGGUGAUGGAUGACUGCUUGCAUUUCAUAUCUCAACAGCCAGGCUCUGAUCACACUGGGAUUUCUCUGCUUGACACCAUGUCUCUGAUCUUUCCCAAGCCCCCUAGAUGUGCCUGGUACUUUACGAAGCACAUGCGUUCUGCCUGCCCAAGUCACUGACAGUCUGAGUGCAGGAUACAAAAGGAGGAGGAGAGAAGAACACAAGGAAGAAAGAAUCAGUGCUGCAGGCCAAAGCUCUGCUGCCCUCUGGCUACCAGUCCAGCACCAACAACCAGCUCUCACCUGGGGAGGAUUCUUCACACACUUCAAUGCGGCUUCUCAAAUGGAAGGAUUCAAAGACCCCCAGAGCCUCCUCUCCACUGACAUGUAACCAUUGCUCAGGCUUUACUGAGGGCCAAUACAACAGUAAGAUACAUCAGCAUCCACUGUCAGCAGCAAAAGGCAAGAGAGAAGCAGGGAUGUGAAGCAAUUGCCGGCUUUCUAGUCACCUGAAUAUCAAAGGACAUAGCUGCUGCAUGAACAAGUGUCUUUAUUUUAGGGGGUGGCCAACCUGAGCCUGAGAAGGAGCCAGAAUUUACCAAUGUACAUUGCCAAAGAGCCACAGUAAUAUGUCAGCAGCCCCCCCCCGUCAGCUCCCCCAACCUGCUCCCAGCGCCUCCCACCCACCAGCAGCCCCGCCGAUCAGCACCUCCCCCUCCCUCCCUGCACCUCCUGAUUAGCUGUUUUGUGGCGUGCAGGAGGCUCUGGGUGCGGGGAGGAGCGAGGGCACAGCAGGCUCAGGGGAGGGUGCGAGAAGAGGUGGAAUGGGGGUAGGGCCUGUGGCAGAGCCAGGGGUUGAGCAGUGAGCACCCCCCAGCACAUUGGAAAGUUGGCACCUGUAGCUCCAGCCCCAGAGUUGGUGCCUAUACAAGGAGCCGCAUAUUAACUUCUGAAGAGCCGCAUGUGGCUCCGGGCCACCCCUGCUUUUAUUGCUACAAUGUGUGGAAUGCCAGCCAAGCCCCACUACAGGGAGGGUGAGAGAAUGAAGAGAUUCCCAACCCCACCCAUUAAUUUCCCCGAAUCCUAUUCCCAGGCAGGGAGAGUCACAAGAAAGGGAUUGUGAAUCAUACUGCUCAGCAGCAUUCAAAGGUGAGGCCUCCCCACUCCCUCUGUACUACCCAGGCAGGGUCUGAGGUACAGAGCUUUUCCCCUGAUGAGGGAUGGGUGUGUGUCAUGGUGCGAGACUCACCCCUGUGGCGCCUCCUGCUGGUAUCUCAGGGAAUUAGCUCUUCCAGCCUCCGGAGCACCCUCUGCAAGCUGGUGUCUCGCUGCCGCUGGCCCCCGUGUCCCUUCCGGACCCUGGUGCCCCUUUCCCUGGGGUGCUGCCCCCUGGCAGUGCCCCAACAGUCUCUGGGCCUCCCAGGGGAACCCCCACCCACUAUCCCCACCUCGCCUUGGCUACUGCCAGUCAGCAUUGAGCCCCCGCACACUGGGGCAGACUGCAGUGUAUAAGCCAAUCAUCACAGGCCGGGGGGGGUUGGACCUGCUGUGGGGCCUCGGAAAAAAUCCACCACUGGGCAGCGGAAGCCGAGAGCCCUGGCCACCAGGCAGGUUGGGCGGGGGAAGUCUCCGCACCCUGACCCCUCUCCCCAGCAGCAGCGCUGGACAGGCGAGGUGGGAGAAGCCCUAGCACCCCAACCCUUGCUGUGGCCCUGGGACUGGAGGAAGCUCUCACUCCCUGCUGCGCCCCGGGGCUGUGGCAUGGGGACAGAGCUUCUCCAGUCUUGGGGCCACAGGGUGGGGGGGCAGAA